UUAAUGUUUAUUUUACAGAAUACUUAAUGUAUGUAUAAUAUAUGUAGGGUUGGAGCCGGCAGAGGGAAGGACGUGCGAGUCACAGAGCCACAAGUUCAAGGGGACAUGCGCGAGCGGGACCAACUGUGCUAAUGUUUGCAAGACGGAGGGCUUUCCCGGCGGCAAAUGCAGGGGUUUCCGUCGCCGUUGCUUCUGCACCACACAUUGUUAACUAAGAACAAUAUCUUAAUUAAUUUCUAUCUAUCUUUCCUUUGCUUUUCUUUUAAUUAUCGUAAUUCUGCAUGGGGUUGUACGUAUGUGUGUGCAAAUAACUGUGACCGUAUCCUUUGACCACAGUACUACUGAAUGUUUCUAUUUUCUCGGCAGCCUGUAGUAAAAAAUUAAGUAAUUGUUUGGUGUACGUCUACCUUAAUUAUGUAAUGUGCGUGAGAUCUUGCUUUUCUUCAAAAAUUGAUAAUAAUUAACUUCGUCUUCAUAUCUCCC
rnacentral:lncRNA from 1 species